GAAUUAUUAAAAGAAAUACCACAACGAUCAGCCACCAAAGUUUGUUCUAGAUUAAAAAUGUCCCUAGAAAUGUGGACCACAGAGGUAGAAAAUCUUGAAGUGUUCAUUUCUAUUUGCAGAAGCAGAGGAGUGGGCAAAUGUUUAAAGCGGAUGAAUGGAUUGAUGAAUGAGUGAACAGAGGAAUGUCUUUUAUAAUAGAGCUGCCUUGAGACAUUGGUGUGACCUUUUGCCUUCUUUGACUGCUCCUAUCUUUAGGGUAGAAUUUUAAUGAUCCUAUGAAACUUCAGUGUGAACUCUUUGGACUUAUUCUAUGUAAUCUAUAAUACUUGAAAAAGACAUUUCAGAGCCAAAUGUCAUUGGUUUAUUAUUUUGACAUUCUUUUUAGGUAAAGGGGCUGAUUUGAGUAAGCCUCCAUGUCGAAAAGCAAAGGAAAUGAGGAAAGAAAGGAAAAGGUUAAAACUGAUGCAGCAGAGCUCAGCUGGAGCCUUUGAGGGCUUCCAGGCUCAAGGUCAGCCAGUAUCUUUGUUACCAAAGGCUAAAUCCAACCAGCCCAAGUCACUGGAAGAUUUGAUUUUUGAAUCUUUACCAGAGGAUGCAUCGCACAAGUUAGAGGUGAGGGUGGUAAGAUCUUCUCCACCAAGUCCUCAGUUCAAAGCCACAUUUCAGGAGUCUUACCAGGUCUAUAAACGUUACCAGAUGAUUAUUCACAAGGAUCCACCUGAUAAGCCAACUGUGAGCCAGUUUACAAGAUUCCUUUGCAACUCACCAUUGGAGGCAGAGCACCCUGCUAAUGGACCAGAAUGUGGUUACGGCUCUUUUCACCAGCAGUACUGGCUUGACGGGAAGAUCAUUGCUGUGGGGGUGAUAGACAUCCUCCCAUACUGUGUGUCUUCUGUGUAUCUGUACUAUGAUCCUGAUUAUUCAUUCCUGUCUUUGGGUGUCUAUUCAGCAUUAAGAGAAAUUGCUUUUACUAGACAACUGCAUGAGAAAACAUGUCCAUGACAGAUGACUGGUAUGACCAAGAGGACAUGUGAAGUCUAAGAGCAUAGACUCUCAGGAAGGUAAAUUUCAGAAGGCUGGAGACUCAUUCUAGGAGCCUGGACGGGGCCUCUGCCAGUUUAUCAGAAGAGUUCCCACUCCAUUUCAAAGAGAGAGAGAGAGGCAAUAAUGAGUGCCCAGGCCAUUUUAAAACAUACAAAAUUCCCCAAAUGGCCUACUCUUCCAGACUCUAUGGCUCCAACCAAUGCUGUAAAAAUAAAGAUUAAACUGCACAGAG
rnacentral:lncRNA from 1 species